rnacentral:rRNA from 1 species
UACGUAGGGCGCAAGCGUUAUCCGGAAUUACUGGGCGUAAAGGGCUCGUAGGUGGCCAACUAAGUCAGACGUGAAAUCCCUCGGCUUAACCGGGGAACUGCGUCUGAUACUGGAUGGCUUGAGUUUGGGAGAGGAAUGCGGAAUUCCAGGUGUAGCGGUGAAAUGCGUAGAUAUCAGGAGGAACACCGAUGGCGAAGGCAGGUCUCUGGGCCAUAACUGACGCUGAGAAGCGAAAGCGUGGGGAGCGAACAGG